CCUUCCGAGGGGCGCUGCAGCAGGCCUGCCAACGGCCUGUCAGGCUCGGAAGGGGCGUUUUCCGAACGCAUCAACGGCGCCCAUUCGCA
rnacentral:ncRNA from 17 species